AGGCUAGUGUAAUAAUUCAAGCAGAGAUAAUCGGGAGAAGAUGACUGUAGCUGUAGAAUUUGUGAAAAUUUGUCAGAUUCUGUAGGUAUUCUGGAGGGAGAGAGUGGCCAGAAUAUUUUGCAGAGUGUGAGUGAAAAAGAGUCAGGAAUGACUCCAAAUCUUUUGGAUUGAGGUACUUAAAGGGUAGCGAUGCCAUUCCCUGAGAUUGAGGAGAUUGCGAAAGGGGAAAAUUUGGUAUUGAGACAAGACCAGGAGCUCGGUUUUGGCAUGUUAAGUUUGACAUUACUCUUAGAUACCAAAUUGCAGGUGAUAAUAUCAGGAGCUGAAUACAUCAGCCUAGACUUUGAGGGAGAGGUCUAAGCUGAUAUAUAUGUUUAGGUGCCUUAUUACAUUAAAAAAUUCUGAGGAUGUAGAAAAACAAGAAACAGAACUAAGAAAGAGCCAGGCUGAGAGGUAGGAGAAAAACCAGGAAAGUGUUAUGUCUUGGAAGACAGUGAAGAAAAUGUUUUGAGAAGAAUUUUUUUUCACUGUAAUAUGCAGUAUAUUCUUUAAAUCCUAUAUCUAGGCAACCAAUCUUGAAGAAGUAUUUGGCUGAAUGUCAGUAAUCCAAUAAGCCAAAAAACAUUUUCUCAAUAUAUUAGGUGCAAGUAAAUAGGCAUUACCUAGUCCUUAGCCGCUAAAUUUGAGAUGGUUCUAUACGUUCAUUCUUGCUGAGAGUUCAGGUUCCUGGAAUAAUGCACAGCCAAUCAACCAUCCAUCCUCUCCUCAACCUUCCAGAAGACUGUGAGUCCUGAGAGCAUAGAAACUCUCCUGAUGUUGCUCCCAGACCGUGACCCGUGCUGGCAAAGCUUCUAUUCCCAUGUGGCUGCAUGUUUCAUAAGGAGAGCUACUAAAAUGCAGGAAAGCACAAAGUCUUAAUUGCUUGCUAGUGGGCACUCAGCCAACACGCUGUUAGCAGAAUGAAAUCCAAUCUUAGAGAAAAAGUGCUGAACCUCGGCUCUGGAUCGCCCAAGCCCCAUAUGGAUUGCGUGUGUUUUGGGGGAAGAUUUGGAUAUGGCAGUCUUUUUUUUCACUCUUUUGAAUGGGAAUGUCAAUCUAUGGGUUACUAGAACAUUUUAUUCUUAAUAUAAUAAUCCCAGCUGCAAAACAACAUUAAGAGGGAACACUGCACCUCUUCUCCCCACUUAUGACCUGGACAAUUAAUACAUUCUCAUUUUUUGUGCUUCUCUGAAAAUACUACUUUCAAUGCAAUUUCCAACCAAAUUGUUACUUUGAAGAAUUCAUACAUAGUCAUUCUGAAACAUCCCUGCCUUGUUCUGUUGUUUGCUAUUUGAUCUUUGAUAAUUAAUCUCCCUAAAUCUCAGUUGACUUAUCUUUAUAAUGGGAAAAAUAAAAAUGCUUUCCUGACAGGGAUGCUGUGAAGACUCAAUGAGAUUCAAAGCUCUUGGCAGUGUGUGGCACAAACAAUAAUGUCCAAUAUAUGUUAACUCCUAAUUUUAUUGCUAAAAAUAAUAGUCUAAUAGAUUUCUCACUGUGAGAAAUCUCAAUAUAUAGCAUAAAAUAUUUGGCCCCAUACGUUUUGGUGUUUGGGGCUUUGACAGGUUUUCUUUGAUCUGUCACAUGAUAUAUUUCUAUAUUUCACAUGACAUAUUUGAUAUAUUUCUAUAGUAUCCAUUUUUUCUAAAAUGAUUAAAAACCUCUCUUCACAUAAACAUUACAUGAGACAAAAAAACAAACAAGUAAUAUGUAGAGAAAUAUUG
ensembl:lncRNA novel transcript